UGGGGAAUAUUGGACAAUGGGCGCAAGCCUGAUCCAGCCAUGCCGCGUGAGUGACGAAGGCCUUAGGGUUGUAAAGCUCUUUUGGCGGGGACGAUAAUGACGGUACCCGCAGAAUAAGCCCCGGCUAACUUCGUGCCAGCAGCCGCGGUAAUACGAAGGGGGCUAGCGUUGUUCGGAAUUACUGGGUGUAAAGCGCACGUAGGCGGAUAUGCCAGUCAGGGGUGAAAUCCCGAGGCUCAACCUCGGAACUGCCUCCGAUACAGCAUGUCUCGAGUCCGGAAGAGGUGAGUGGAAUUCCUAGUGUAGAGGUGAAAUUCGUAGAUAUUAGGAAGAACACCAGUGGCGAAGGCGGCUCACUGGUCCGGUACUGACGCUGAGGUGCGAAAGCGUGGGGAGCAAACAGGAUUAGAUACCCAAGUAGUCCCUGAGCGGGCUGGCAAGGCGCAU
rnacentral:rRNA from 1 species